AUUGAACGCUGGCGGCAGGCCUAACACAUGCAAGUCGAACGGAGUGGCGGACGGGUGAGUAAUGCCUAGGAAUCUGCCUGGUAGUGGGGGAUAACGUCCGGAAACGGGCGCUAAUACCGCAUACUAUCAGAUGAGCCUAGGUCGGAUUAGCUAGUUGGUGGGGUAAAGGCCUACCAAGGCGACGCUCCGGAACUGGUCUGAGAGGAUGAUCAGUCACAGUGGAACUGAGACGAGGUCCAGGGUCCUACGGGAGGCAGCAGUGGGGAAUAUUGGACAAUGGGCGAAAGCCUGAUACAGCCAUGCCGCGUGUGUGAAGAAGGUCUUCGGAUUGUAAAGCACUUUAAGUUGGGAGGCGUUACCAACAGAAUAAGAACCGGCUAACUUCGUGCCAGCAGCCGCGGUAAUUC
rnacentral:rRNA from 1 species